GACGAACGCUGGCGGCGUGCUUAACACAUGCAAGUCGAACGGAAAGGCCCUGCUUUUGUGGGGUGCUCGAGUGGCGAACGGGUGAGUAACACGUGAGUAACCUGCCCUUGACUUUGGGAUAACUUCAGGAAACUGGGGCUAAUACCGGAUAGGAGCUCCUGCUGCAUGGUGGGGGUUGGAAAGUUUCGGCGGUUGGGGAUGGACUCGCGGCUUAUCAGCUUGUUGGUGGGGAGUGGCUUACCAAGGCUUUGACGGGUAGCCGGCCUGAGAGGGUGACCGGCCACAUUGGGACUGAGAUACGGCCCAGACUCCUACGGGAGGCAGCAGUGGGGAAUAUUGCACAAUGGGCGGAAGCCUGAUGCAGCAGCGCCGCGCGCGGGAUGACGGCCUUCGGGUUGUAAACCGCUUGCGCCUGUGACGAAGCGUGAGUGACGGUAAUGGGUAAAGAAGCACCGGCUAACUACGUG
rnacentral:rRNA from 1 species